ACGAACGCUGGCGGCACGCUUAACACAUGCAAGUCGAACGAGACAAAAACUUCGGUUUUUGUUUAGUGGCAGACGGGUGAGUAACACGUGGGAAUCUACCCUUUGGUGGGGAAUAACCAUUGGAAACGAUGGCUAAUACCCCAUAAGCUGAGAAAUCAGGAAAGAUUUAUCGCCAAAGGAAGAGCCCGCGCCAGAUUAGGUAGUUGGUAGGGUAAUGGCCUACCAAGCCUUCGAUCUGUAGCUGGUCUGAGAGGAUGGCCAGCCACACUGGGACUGAGACACGGCCCAGACUCCUACGGGAGGCAGCAGUGGGGAAUAUUGGACAAUGGGGGAAACCCUGAUCCAGCGAUGCCGCGUGAGUGAUGAAGGCCUUCGGGUUGUAAAGCUCUUUCGCCUGUGAAGAUAAUGACGGUAACAGGAUAAGAAGCUCCGGCUAACUCUGU
rnacentral:rRNA from 1 species